GAUGAACGCUAGCGAUAGGCCUAACACAUGCAAGUCGAGCGGAUGAGUGGAGCUUGCUCCAUGAUUCAGCGGCGGACGGGUGAGUAAUGCCUAGGAAUCUGCCUGGUAGUGGGGGACAACGUUUCGAAAGGAACGCUAAUACCGCAUACGUCCUACGGGAGAAAGUGGGGGAUCUUCGGACCUCACGCUAUCAGAUGAGCCUAGGUCGGAUUAGCUAGUUGGUGAGGUAAAGGCUCACCAAGGCGACGAUCCGUAACUGGUCUGAGAGGAUGAUCAGUCACACUGGAACUGAGACACGGUCCAGACUCCUACGGGAGGCAGCAGUGGGGAAUAUUGGACAAUGGGCGAAAGCCUGAUCCAGCCAUGCCGCGUGUGUGAAGAAGGUCUUCGGAUUGUAAAGCACUUUAAGUUGGGAGGAAGGGCAGUAAGUUAAUACCUUGCUGUUUUGACGUUACCAACAGAAUAAGCACCGGCUAACUUCGUGCC
rnacentral:rRNA from 1 species